rnacentral:rRNA from 1 species
UACGGAGGGAGCUAGCGUUGUUCGGAAUCACUGGGCUUAAAGCGCACGUAGGUGGUUCGGUAAGUGCGAUGUGAAAGCCCCCGGCCCAACCGGGGAACUGCAUCGCAGACUGCCGAGCUUGAGAGCGGUAGGGGAGACUAGAACUCCUGGUGGAGCGGUGAAAUGCGUAGAUAUCAGGAGGAAUACCGGUGGCGAAGGCGAGUCUCUGGUCCGCUUCUGACACUUAGGUGCGAAAGCUAGGGGAGCAAACGGG